UGACACCUCUCGAUAUUUACAACGCCAUUUGUGAGAUGAAAGAAAGUUGCAGUGCUGGUCCCCGUGGUCUUGAAGAGAGUGGUGAGGACGGCGGAAAAGAUCAUCAGGACUCCUCUUCCUCCUAUCCAGGAGAUGGCAAAAAGCCGCUGCCUGACCAGGGCUCAGAAAAUCUGCAGAGACUCCUCCCACCCCCACCAAGGACUGUGUUCACCGCUGGACUCUAGAAAGAGGUUCCGCAGCCUCCGAAGCAGAACCUCCAGGUUCUGUAACAGCUUCUUCCCUCAGGCCUUCUCACGGCAUGCUCGUCAUCAUUAAAAGCCUGUUGAAAAAAGGAACUUUCCACUGGAGGGAUGAGACGAUCGCAUGAUGAAGGAAUCGAACCCGAAAUGUGCAACAUUGCAACACCAGGGAUUAACAGAAGAGGUCAACUGUACACGUGACUAUCCCAGCAUAUUUCUCACGGCAUGCUCGUCAUCAUUAAAAGCCUGUUGAAAAAAGGAACUUU